GUUUUCACCCGGACGCUCUCUCCCGGAGUGCUGGCCAGGCGCUUCUGGGGGCCGCCGGAGAGAGAGAGAAGCGACAAACACCUUUGCAGGGUAUUUGUAGCACAUGCCAUCCAGAAAACCCAGACAGCACUGGCACAGGAGUCACUACAGCUGCUCUAACAUGUACUAUACGAGGAUUCUCUUCAGCUGGAAUCAUCCUUAGACAGCUGCAACCCACCAAAUUUACAUUUCCUUUUGCAUCAAGGAGCCUGUGCAAAAAAGGCCCUGGUAAAAGUCUCUUGCCAUCUUUCUUGUGAACAUCCCUUAUAUAUGGAAAGGCCCCAUCACAGUCUCCCCAGAUCCUUUUCUUCUCCAGGCUGAACAAUCCCAAGUGUAAAGCCCUUUGUCAUCAGCUCUCCCAUCUGUCCCAGUACACAGGCAGCUGCCUGCAUGACUGCCUUGAGGAUGAACUUGCUUCUCGGCCCUCCAGGCUCUGCCUCAAACCCAACUUGAGGAUGCUACCAAAACCACAAGGGACAAGCCUGCAUCAGGACUUCGUACUUUCCCAGGAUAAUUUUGAAACAGCAGUAUAGAAGACCUCGAAUAAAUCCCAUAAUUUGGGGAUUAUGGGAUAUCCCAUAAAACACGCAUACAUUAUUCUGUUUUUCCUUUCAGAAAAAUUGUUGC